rnacentral:rRNA from 1 species
UACGUAGGGGGCAAGCGUUGUCCGGAUUUAUUGGGCGUAAAGCGCGCGUAGGCGAUUUGAAAAGUCUUGUGUGAAAGCCCCGAGCUUAACUCGGGAAGUGCACAAGAAACUGUUGAAUUUGAGUUCCGGAGAGGAAGGCAGAAUUCCCGGUGUAGCGGUGAAAUGCGUAGAUAUCGGGAGGAAUACCAGUGGCGAAGGCGGCCUUCUGGACGGAUACUGACGCUGAGGCGCGAAAGCCAGGGGAGCAAACGGG